rnacentral:rRNA from 1 species
AGUGAACGCUGGCGGUAGGCCUAACACAUGCAAGUCGAACGGCAGCACAGUAAGAGCUUGCUCUUACGGGUGGCGAGUGGCGGACGGGUGAGGAAUACAUCGGAAUCUACUUUUUCGUGGGGGAUAACGUAGGGAAACUUACGCUAAUACCGCAUACGACCUACGGGUGAAAGCAGGGGAUCUUCGGACCUUGCGCGAUUGAAUGAGCCGAUGUCGGAUUAGCUAGUUGGCGGGGUAAAGGCCCACCAAGGCGACGAUCCGUAGCUGGUCUGAGAGGAUGAUCAGACACACUGGAACUGAGACACGGACCAGACUCCUACGGGAGGCCGCAGUGGGGAAUAUUGGACAAUGGGCGCAAGCCUGAUUCAGCCAUACCGCGUGGGUGAAGAAGGCGUUCGUGUUGUAAAGCCCUUUUGUUGGGAAAGAAAAGCAGCAGGUUAAUACCCCGCUGUUCUGACGGUACCCAAAGAAUAAGCACAGGCUAACUUCGUG